rnacentral:misc_RNA from 1 species
GAUGAAGAACGUAGCGAAAUGCGAUACGUAGUGUGAAUUGCAGAAUUCCGUGAACCAUCAAAUCUUUGAACGCAUAUUGCGCUCGAGGCUUCGGCCGAGAGCAUGUCUGCCUCAGCGUCGGUAUUACCCCUCGCUUCCCAACCCCUGGUUGAUGCCUGCCUGCCUUUGCAGUUGGCUAGAAGCGGAUCUGGCUUUCCCAAUUGCCUUUGGUAGUUGGGUCAGCUGAAGCACAGAGGCUUGAGCAAGGACCCUUAUUGGGCUUCAACUGGAUAGGUAGAACUGGUCUUAGGACCAACUACACGAAGUUGUUGCUUGUGGUCUUUGUCUGGAGGCCAGCAGGAAACCUUUAUACCUUCGACCUGAGCUCAGGCAAGAUUACCCGCUGAACUUAAGCAUAUCAAUAAGCGGAGGA